AACGAACGCUGGCGGCAGGCUUAACACAUGCAAGUCGAACGCCCCGCAAGGGGAGUGGCAGACGGGUGAGUAACGCGUGUGAAUCUACCCAUCCCUACGGAACAACUCCGGGAAACUGGAGCUAAUACCGUAUACGCCCUUAGGGGGAAAGAUUUAUCGGGGAUGGAUGAGCCCGCGUUGGAUUAGCUAGUUGGUGGGGUAAAGGCCUACCAAGGCGACGAUCCAUAGCUGGUCUGAGAGGAUGAUCAGCCACAUUGGGACUGAGACACGGCCCAAACUCCUACGGGAGGCAGCAGUGGGGAAUAUUGGACAAUGGGCGCAAGCCUGAUCCAGCCAUGCCGCGUGAGUGAUGAAGGCCUUAGGGUUGUAAAGCUCUUUCACCGAUGAAGAUAAUGACGGUAGUCGGAGAAGAAGCCUCGGCUAACUUCGUGCCAGCCGCCGCCGUAACAC
rnacentral:rRNA from 1 species